GAUUAACGCUGGCGGCGUGCAUAACACAUGCAAGUCGAACGAUGAAACUUUAAUGAACCCUUCGGGGAGAAUUAAAGCGGAUUAGUGGCGAACGGGUGAGUAACGCGUGAGUAACCUGCCUUACACAAGGGGAUAGCCUUUGGAAACGAAGAAUAAUACCCUAUAAAACCAUAAAAGCACAUGCAAUUAUGGUCAAAGUGAUAGCGGUGUAAGAUGGACAUGCGUCUGAUUAGCUAGUUGGUGAGAUAAAAGCCCACCAAGGCAACGAUCAGUAGCCGGCUUGAGAGAGUGUACGGCCACAUUGGGACUGAGACACGGCCCAGACUCCUACGGGAGGCAGCAGUGGGGAAUUUUGCACAAUGGGGGAAACCCUGAUGCAGCGACGCCGCGUGAUUUAGAAGGCCUUCGGGUUGUAAAAAUCUUUUGUAUAGGAAGAAAAUGACAGUACUAUACGAAUAAGGUCCGGCUAAUUACGUG
rnacentral:rRNA from 1 species